GAUGAACGCUGGCGGCGUGCCUAAUACAUGCAAGUCGAGCGAAUGGAUUAAGAGCUUGCUCUUAUGAAGUUAGCGGCGGACGGGUGAGUAACACGUGGGUAACCUGCCCAUAAGACUGGGAUAACUCCGGGAAACCGGGGCUAAUACCGGAUAAUAUUUUGAACUGCAUGGUUCAAAAUUGAAAGGCGGCUUCGGCUGUCACUUAUGGAUGGACCCGCGUCGCAUUAGCUAGUUGGUGGGGUAACGGCUCACAAAGGCAGCGAUGCGUAGCCGACCUGAGAGGGUGAUCGGCCACACUGGGACUGAGACACGGCCCAGACUCCUACGGGAGGCAGCAGUAGGGAAUCUUCCGCAAUGGACGAAAGUCUGACGGAGCAACGCCGCGUGAGUGAUGAAGGCUUUCGGGUCGUAAAACUCUGUUGUUAGGGAAGAACAAGUGCUAGUUGAAUAAGCUGGCACCUUGACGGUACCUAACCAGAAAGCCACGGCUAACUACGUGCCAGCCGCCGCCGUAA
rnacentral:rRNA from 1 species